rnacentral:lncRNA from 1 species
AGGGCCACACCAGCAGCAUAUGGAGAUUACCAGGAUAGGGAUCUAAUCUGAGCUACAGCUGCCGGCCUACACCACAGCCACAGCAACUGUUGGAUCCAAGCCAUGUCUGCAACCUACAACACAGCUCACGGCAACACGGAAUCCUUAACCCACUGAGCGAGGCCAGGGAUCAAACCUGCAAUACCAUGGUUCCUAGUUGGAUUCAUUUCCGCUGUGCCACAACAAGAACUCCUGUUCUUCAUUCUAAUAAUUUUACCUAAUUCCCAAUUUCAACCUACCAGCACAGGGCCUCAUGUGCCUCUUGCUUCCAGCCUUACAACUUUUCCAUGAGACACAAUAGCCAUUCACAAGUGAGCCCUGUAAAUGCCAUGCCUGACCAAUGAUGGAUGCUGGACAAUGGGUAAGGGUCCCCCUUUAAUAGCCUAUCCCCUGUACACCCUUGCGGUAGUCAUUUAGAAAGGAUCCACAGAAUGUCUCACAAGAUAAGCAUCAGUUGCCAAAUUGGAGACCAACUUCCUAAACUAUCCUCCAUAAGUGAUUCUUGAAUUUAUAUUUUAUUUUUGCUCUUUCCCUGUUCCAUUUCUGUAGUCCUCACUCUUGUUCCCCUAAUCCUGCUUUGGAAAUAAGCAAACUAUUUGCAAGCCUCUGAUUCAUGUUCUGUCUUGCAGGAGGGAAGGGUUGUCAUUGGUUAAGACAAGACCUUACUUUAGAAAAGCCCUUUUAAUCUGAAAACACCAAAAUUUUUCUACUCAGAAAUAUUUUGAUCACUUAUAUUUUAUGAUUGUUUCUUUUCAAUCUUUCUGGAAACUUCUUUACCACUGUCAUUGGUUAGCUCACUUCAUCUUGAUAAACCCUGCUUAUUUUUAUAUACAGGAAACAUCUGUUUAAACCAAGGAUUAACUACAAACAAAAUGAAUUGUGCUUUAGUCUACUUACUUGCUGAUUGAAUGGCCUUUCAAAUCUGAAAGUAAGGACAAAUCAUUUUGAGCACUUUCUCCUUAUUUCUGUACUCUGAUAGCUUCUCCUUUGUAAUUGUGCUUUAUUUAAGGUAAUCCUACCUAGCUGAUAGAUCUAAUCAUCUUUUUUUUCUGUUCCUAAUAGGCUUAAAACUGUAAGAUUUGCUUAUGGUAAUUAUACCUCCCAUAUUCUAUUGUGACUUUAUUGUCCCUCUUCCUAUUUUCACAUCUAAGUAUUUUUGGGACAUCUAGAAUUUGUUUUACGUUGCUGAACAAGGUUUCACUCACUUGGAUCAAAGGUUAGAAAGGCACAACUGCCCAUCUUACUAAUUAGGAUAGACUGGGACUUGUGACCUCUCCAUAUUUGAUAAGUUCUGUUCUAAGUCCUUUGCAUGCAUCAUCACACUGAAUCCUUGCACCAACUUAAGCCUCAUGCUCCACCUCUCUUCUUAAUUCUCCAAUCUGCAGUCAAAUAUAUCCUUAUCAAGUAUAACACACACACAUACAUACCAUUAUGUUAGUUCUCUUAAAUUGUGCAGUGCCUUCUCAUUUAUCCAUCUUUAGAAUAAAAUCAGGUUUUUCUUAACAUGGCUCAUAAGGCCAUCAAUUUAGAACCUGUCCCUCUCUUUAAAGUAAUGUAUCAACAUUUUCACCCUCAUGCUCUACCUUCAACCAUAGUGAAUUUACUCAAAUUCUAUGUUUCAUGCUCUGCCAAGUCCUGGGUCUUGUAAUGUUUUUCCCUUAGUGGUCUGUGAGUUCCAUUAAAGUAAGCACUAAGUAUAUGUCCAAACCAAUAUGCCACAGUGCCUGUCACAUCUGAGGUACCCAUGAGUAUUUAUUAUUUGAGAAAAUAAAUGCCUAACCACUAAAUUCUCUUUUGUUAUUUCUUUGUUCAUCCUUCAUGUUUCAGGUUGUAUAUCAUUUCCUUCAGAAAGCUUUAAAUUACUCAGCACUGAAGAAUCACAUGUAACUACAGAGUCCUUGUAUUCAAGAAAACCAAGUGUUUUGUCAUUGUUUUGUUUCUUUUAGUGGUUUUUACUUUUUUAUAUACAAACAAUUUUAACUGGUUGGAUAGCAAAUGAAAAUAUGAAUUGUCAACCUCAGUGUCAAUCUGUAAACUUGGGAUGUGGGAUAUAUAGAUCCUGGCUGAUGUGGUCCUUGUCUAAAAGGGGUGUGCCCUCACAGACCCAAUGGAGCAGUCACACGGAUAUUUGCCCAGUAUCAUCACAUCUUCCAGAUUUUCAAGAGCUCAGGGAAAACUGACUUUCCUCUCUAAUGUCAAUUUUUAAAUAUUUGAAAAUUAGUUCAAAUUUUAAAUAAUUUUAGGCCUCUUUCCCAGUUUAUAACCUCCAUCUAAAUAAUACUAGAUGCCUAAGUAUUCUUUUGUAUUUAAUCCCAGUCGAGCAUGUAGAAUAUUUUCUAUUAUUAAUUUCUCCCCUCUUUUUCUCCUGCGAAACUAAAAGCUCUGUGAGAUGAGGGAGAUAUAUAGAUAGAUAUGGAUAUAUAGGUAUAAUAAACAUAAAUGUAUUCACUUUAGAUUCAGUGCAUAAUCAACAGCCUAAAAACAGUAGAUCCUUGAUAUAUAACUCUUAAACAAUGAAUAAAAUUUUUAAAAACUGUAUCCUAGCUCGUCAAUAUUAAAUACAUUAUAAACUGAUUACAUGUAAAAUACUGGCAGAAGGGCUUGGAAUCUAAUAAACUGAACUAUUUUAUGUGCUAAUACUAUAAAAUAUAUAUUUUCCACACAAAAUGCAAUAAGUAGUUCCACUAAUAUUCAUUAACUGUCAGUGUGUAAUUUAUUGUUCUCUUUAGCUAAGAGGCUAUGAAAGAAUAUAAGAGUUUCUUAUACUCCCUCACCCCUACCUUUAGCUGAAUGAAUCAUUCUUGAAUUGAGCUUAUUUCUUUUGGCCUCAUUUUUGGAAGUGUUAAAUUUGUAAGUUUAAUUAUAAACUUUGUUCUGUACUGCUGAAAUAAUCAUAAAUACUGGAAAAAUGCAAAAGAUCUGUCAAACCAAAUUGCGAAUUUUUUAAAAGGCUAUUUUCUCAUUAUUUAAAUCACUUACUUACAUACAUAGGUAUUUCCUCCUAAGCAGUAUUCCAGCCCUGAUUAUAUUUGGUUAAACAAAAAGUGUUUCAUUAGCUGGUAAAGCAAAGAAGGAAUUCACUGUUUUAUACCAUGAAGUAUUAUUACAUCUCCACUUCUAUCUAAGGAACACUUUAUACCUUUAGCUCCAAACAGUAAAGGAUUCUUUCUGGAUAAAGAUGAGAAUUCUUCCUCUGCCUUCACAUUAUAGAGCACAUAAUGGUAGAGAAGACAUAGAGAAAGAAAUAGACUCAGCCUAGGUACAGGAAACGAUAUGAAAUAAGUAAGCAAACGACAGAAUUUUUCAGGGCAUAUGGAAAAAAAGUAUACCUACCUCCACAAAAGCCAUUGAUAAGAUUUUAUUGGGAAAUUUUUGAGUAGCAGCCUAAGGUAAUAGGAAAGGAACAACAUACUUCUUGACUCAAGAGCAUAACCAUCCCUGGAUAGAAUAUAGUUGAGUCAAGGAAGAUCUAUGACAUCAAAGCAGAUGUUCAAAUUCAUUUAAAAGAAAUAAUAAAAUCCAUCAUGGGCUAAAUUAAGAACUUUCUACUUAGUAACAAUGCAUAAUUGUCCUAUUAUUUUUUUCUGUAUAGAAAAUGCAAACAUUUAUAAGUGGAUUUUAUCAUUUAUCAUCUAUAACUGUUAUUUGUAUACAAAUGUAUAAAAUCUUUAAUAGUUCUAAUAUCAUUUAAUAUAUAUCAAGUAAUUUAAUUGAUAUAUAUUUAGUAUCAUCAAGUAAUUUCAAAAAUCUACAUUUUUCAAUACUUGCAAUACAGAGCUCCAACCCCAAAUAGAUCUUAACUGAUUAUUACAGUAGACAGGCUAGUCAAAAAUGGAAAAAUCAUUAACUGAACAAAAAUCUUACUUCAUUAAGCUAAUGUAUAUUUACUUAAGCUGCAUUUCACUAACUCAUAUAAUUAUUAAAUGUUUUGUCUGCUUUUCAAUAUUGUUUGAGCAUAACUGAACAACAGAAAAUCUAGAGUGCAUAUUUUCAAAUAAUCAUGAAAAUAUAUACUGUUAUCUGUGCCUACAGAGACUCCCACUCUUAAAAAUGUUUCAAAAAUUGUUCCUGUUCUGUUGAAACCAAAAGCUAGCUCACAACUCCUUAUCAAAUGGCAAAAAGCAAAACCAUUUAGUGGUUUAGGAAAAAAAAAAAUGUAAUAAAAUUAUCAGGGGGAUUUAACAUGGGCAGCAACUCUGUAAUUACUUUUAUGAUUUUUGGAGCGGAAAACCAUAAAUACCUUUGCUAUUAUUACAUGUGUUUCCAGGAUACUUUUAUAAAGUUCAAGACUUGUGGAUUAUAUUUUAUUGCAAAGGCAAUAUAGUUUCAAGAGCAGUAACUACUAUUAAUAAUAAUACUUUCUCUAGAGGUUGAUAUAGAAACAUAAUAGCCAAAGCAAUACAACAUAUUUUGAUGUAUUUUUUUCCACUAGAGUUUCUUGCACUGAUCAUAAAAAGCUGAUAUGUAAGAAUUCGGGUUUUAUUUACUUAUUUUUGUAUUAUAAUGUUACAUAUCCAGUUACUUUCUUGGAAUGCAAUGAUCGUUCAUUUAUCCAUUUAGAUAAGAAUAAAUCUCUAGUAAUAAUUGAUUUCUCUCUUGACAUAGCAGGGUAUAAGCUAUCUCUAGACAACAUUAUAAAGUUGAAAAUGUUUUCAAAAGUAAACAUAUUAAAUUCUCCUUUAAGGCAGUUAUAAAAAUAUAACUGGAGUAUAGUAUAAUCUGGAACUAUUUAAGACAAAAAUUUUCAUGCUUGCUUUUACAUUUAAAAAUCAGUUGCCUAGGGGAGAAAUAAGGCUAAUGAGUUUCACUUGAAAGUGUUUAUUCAGCUUCAUCCCACAGUAAAAGUUUGGUCCUUCAAAACUGAUUGUGACUUUCCCCUUCCUACUACAUCUUCCCAUUUGAGAAAUGCUGUUUUAGACAAUUCCACUAGAUUUUUAAAAUGGAUAUGGAGAAAAGAAUAAGAUAUGUAACAUGUGUGAUAUUAUUUUAUCUUUAUUCUACAAUGUUCAAUUAUUAUAGUUAAUGCAAAUUUACACAAUAGAAAUAUUAUAAAAAUUUUGAAAUAGAUUGGAAUAUAAAGUAGAAUUUAGUUAAAUAUAUCACAAGAGCAUCAAUCUAAUAAUUUUCAUCAUUUAAUGCAGUGUCAUGUAGCCAUUUCAAAACUUGUCUUCUGUUGUCUUUAACAAGCCCGCUUUGCCUCACUCUAAGUGACAUUAAUUGCACUUUUCAGAGAAAACAGAAGACUCUAAAUAAGAAUGGAACUGUUUUCUUGCUACUGAGCUUACAUGUUUUCAUCACUCCCUAGUGUCUACCCUACUUUCUAAGCCUGAUUCAUCCAUCUAGAUUACAAUUCUCAAAUGUUCCUUCUCAGGAAUGAGAUGACCCUUUU